rnacentral:rRNA from 1 species
CGUAGGUGGCAAGCGUUGUCCGGAAUUAUUGGGCGUAAAGCGCGCGCAGGCGGUCCUUUAAGUCUGAUGUGAAAGCCCACGGCUCAACCGUGGAGGGUCAUUGGAAACUGGGGGACUUGAGUGCAGAAGAGGAGAGUGGAAUUCCACGUGUAGCGGUGAAAUGCGUAGAGAUGUGGAGGAACACCAGUGGCGAAGGCGACUCUCUGGUCUGUAACUGACGCUGAGGCGCGAAAGCGUGGGGAGCAAACAGGAUUAGAUACCCUGGUAGUCCACGCCGUAAACGAUGAGUGCUAAGUGUUAGAGGGUUUCCGCCCUUUAGUGCUGCAGCUAACGCAUUAAGCACUCCGCCUGGGGAGUACGGCCGCAAGGCUG